GAUGAACGCUGGCGGCGUGCCUAAUACAUGCAAGUCGAGCGAACAGACGAGGAGCUUGCUCCUCUGACGUAGCGGCGGACGGGUGAGUAACACGUGGAUAACCUACCUAUAAGACUGGGAUAACUUCGGGAAACCGGAGCUAAUACCGGAAAAUAUAUUGAACCGCAUGGUUCAAUUGUGAAAGACGGUUUUGCUGUCACUUAUAGAUGGAUCCGCGCCGCAUUAGCUAGUUGGUAAGGUAACGGCUUACCAAGGCAACGAUGCGUAGCCGACCUGAGAGGGUGAUCGGCCACACUGGAACUGAGACACGGACCAGACUCCUACGGGAGGCAGCAGUAGGGAAUCUUCCGCAAUGGGCGAAAGCCUGACGGAGCAACGCCGCGUGAGUGAUGAAGGUCUUCGGAUCGUAAAACUCUGUUAUUAGGGAAGAACAAAUGUGUAAGUAACUAUGCACGUCUUGACGGUACCUAAUCAGAAAGCCACGGCUAACUACGUG
rnacentral:rRNA from 1 species